GACAGAGGGUGCAAACGUUGUUCGGAAUUACUGGGCGUAAAGCGCGUGUAGGCGGCUAUGCAAGUCGGACGUGAAAUCCCACGGCUCAACCGUGGAAGUGCGCUCGAAACUGCGUAGCUAGAGUCCUGGAGAGGAAGGUGGAAUGCUUGGUGUAGAGGUGAAAUUCGUAGAUAUCAAGCGGAACACCGGUGGCGAAGGCGGCCUUCUGGACAGUGACUGACGCUGAGACGCGAAAGCGUGGGGAGCAAACAGGAUUAGAUACCCGCGUAGUCC
rnacentral:rRNA from 1 species